rnacentral:rRNA from 1 species
CGCGGUUAUACCAAGUGAUUAAGUUAUAUCUUUAGGUAAAAAGACAGUUAGGUUUUAAUUAAAUUUGUUUAUUGAACAUCUAUAAAAAGGUAAAAUUUGUAUAUAGAUAGCUAAUCUAAAAAUAACAUAAAAUUAUGCUGAAGCUGUGAUAAUCUUGAGGGAAACUGGGAUUAGAUACCCCAUUAUUCUUGAUUUUAAAUAUAAUUAAAUUUACCAGAGUACUAUGAAUAGUUAAAAAUUUAAAACUCAAAGGGCUUGGCGGUGUUUUAGACCUAUCAGGGGAACCUGUCUCGUAAUCGACAAUCCACGUAAUAUCUAACCUUAUUUUGUAAUCAGUUUGUAUACCGUCGUCGUCAGGUAACUUUUAAAAAUGCAGAAGUUAGCAAUUAAAAUUAAUAUAAAUUAAGACGUCAGAUCAAGGUGCAGCCUAUAAUAAGGAGAAGAUGGGUUACAGUUAUUAAAUUUAUAAUUACGGAAAUUUAAAUGGAAUUAUUAUUUUGAAGGAGGACUUGAAAGUAAACUAAAAUACAUAAAUAGUUUGAAUAAGGCUCUG